rnacentral:misc_RNA from 1 species
GGAGAUGGCUGAUGCUGACUUUGGCUAUGUUGGGGGUUCCCCUGGAAAGAUCGAUCUUUAUGUCGGGAAGACGGUCCUGAAACGUGGAAUCGCUAUGGAGAAUGCGACGGAGGCUCUAAUCCAGCUAAUAAAAGAUCACGGGCGGUGGGUCGAACCUCCUACAGAAGAGUGAGAGAGACAUAGGCAUGGUAGGUAGAAGAAUAGAAAGAGAGAAGAUUUGGAUUCUGUUUGGGUCGUUUC